GCAGGCGCUCACGUGGCGCGAGGCGCUGGCUGUAAACCGGUAGCCCUGUGGGUUCAACUCCUGCCGCCUGCACCA
rnacentral:tRNA from 1 species